CAGGCUUAACACAUGCAAGUCGAGGGGCAGCAUGGUCUUAGCUUGCUAAGGCCGAUGGCGACCGGCGCACGGGUGAGUAACGCGUAUCCAACCUGCCUUACACUCUUGGACAGCCUUCUGAAAGGGAGAUUAAUACAAGAUGUUAUCAUGAGUAAGCAUUUUCGCAUGAUUAAAGGUUUACCGGUGUAAGAUGGGGAUGCGUUCCAUUAGAUAGUAGGCGGGGUAACGGCCCACCUAGUCUUCGAUGGAUAGGGGUUCUGAGAGGAAGGUCCCCCACAUUGGAACUGAGACACGGUCCAAACUCCUACGGGAGGCAGCAGUGAGGAAUAUUGGUCAAUGGACGAGAGUCUGAACCAGCCAAGUAGCGUGAAGGAUGAAGGUUCUAUGGAUUGUAAACUUCUUUUAUACGGGAAUAAACGAAUCCACGCGUGGAUUUUUGCAUGUACCGUAUGAAUAAGGAUCGGCUAACUCCGUGCCAGCAGCCGCGGUAAUACGGAGGAUCCGAGCGUUAUCCGGAUUUAUUGGGUUUAAAGGGAGCGUAGAUGGGUUGUUAAGUCAGUUGUGAAAGUUUGCGGCUCAACCGUAAAAUUGCAAUUGAUACUGGCAGUCUUGAGUACAGUUGAGGUAGGCGGAAUUCGUGGUGUAGCGGUGAAAUGCUUAGAUAUCACGAAGAACUCCGAUUGCGAAGGCAGCUUACUAACCUGUAACUGACAUUGAUGCUCGAAAGUGUGGGUAUCAAACAGGAUUAGAUACCCUGGUAGUCCACACGGUAAACGAUGAAUACUCGCUGUAGGCGAUAUACAGUCUGCGGCCAAGCGAAAGCAUUAAGUAUUCCACCUGGGGAGUACGCCGGCAACGGUGAAACUCAAAGGAAUUGACGGGGGCCCGCACAAGCGGAGGAACAUGUGGUUUAAUUCGAUGAUACGCGAGGAACCUUACCCGGGCUUAAAUUGCAACCGAAUAUGGCGGAAACGCUAUAGCUAGCAAUAGCGGUUGUGAAGGUGCUGCAUGGUUGUCGUCAGCUCGUGCCGUGAGGUGUCGGCUUAAGUGCCAUAACGAGCGCAACCCUUGCCGAUAGUUACUAACAGGUCAUGCUGAGGACUCUGUCGGGACUGCCAUCGUAAGAUGUGAGGAAGGUGGGGAUGACGUCAAAUCAGCACGGCCCUUACGUCCGGGGCUACACACGUGUUACAAUGGGGGGUACAGAGGGCUGCUACCACGCAAGUGGAUGCCAAUCCCAAAAACCUCUCUCAGUUCGGAUUGAAGUCUGCAACCCGACUUCAUGAAGCUGGAUUCGCUAGUAAUCGCGCAUCAGCCACGGCGCGGUGAAUACGUUCCCGGGCCUUGUACACACCGCCCGUCAAGCCAUGGGAGCCGGGGGUACCUGAAGUGCGUAACCGCAAGGAGCGCCCUAGGGUAAAACUGGUGACUGGG
rnacentral:rRNA from 1 species